UACGUAGGUGGCAAGCGUUAUCCGGAUUUACUGGGUGUAAAGGGCGUGUAGGCGGGAAUGCAAGUCAGAUGUGAAAACUAUGGGCUCAACUCAUAGCCUGCAUUUGAAACUGUGUUUCUUGAGUACUGGAGAGGCAGGCGGAAUUCCGUGUGUAGCGGUGAAAUGCGUAGAUAUACGGAGGAACACCAGUGGCGAAGGCGGCCUGCUGGACAGCAACUGACGCUGAGGCGCGAAAGCGUGGGGAGCAAAC
rnacentral:rRNA from 1 species